UACGAAGGGGGCAAGCGUUGUUCGGAAUUACUGGGCGUAAAGGGCGCGUAGGCGGCUUAUCAAGUCAGGCGUGAAAUUCCCGGGCUCAACCUGGGGGGCUGCGCUUGAUACUGAUUGGCUUGAAUGCGGGAGAGGAUAGUGGAAUUUCCAGUGUAGAGGUGAAAUUCGUAGAUAUUGGGAAGAACACCAAUGGCGAAGGCAGCUCUCUGGGACGGUACUGACGCUGAGACGCGAAAGCGUGGGGAGCGAACAGG
rnacentral:rRNA from 1 species